AGGUCAAGUGAAGAAGGGCGCACGGUGAAUGCCUUGGCACUGGAAGCCGAUGAAGGACGCGACUAACCGCGAAAGUCUUCGGGGAGCCGUAAGUAGGCUUUGAUCCGGAGGUCUCCGAAUGGGGGAACCCAGCAUGUGCAGACAUGCUAUCCUUAAGUGAAUACAUAGCUUAAGGAGGGAACACGCAGUGAACUGAAACAUCUAAGUAGCUGCAGGAAGAGAAAGAAAUAUCGAUUUCCCAAGUAGCGGCGAGCGAACAGGAAAGAGCCCAAACCGGCAGAUUUAUCUGCCGGGGUUGUAGGACUGAGACAUGGCACU
rnacentral:rRNA from 1 species